UCUUCUUCCUUCCCAUUUUAAUGAAACUUUUCCCUUUUCAUCAAUACCUAACGGAACUUGUCCCACCAAUUUUGGGUUAAAUAUUUUACCUCUCUCAUAAUCCAAUAUCUCAGCAUUAUCUCUCUCAUGUGCAACUGGAUUUGGUCAAUAGAAGAGUCCAAAAAAAUUUUGGAUUUUUGAUUCUCUAUGACAGAGAUUUUCAGUGUUCAAACGGAUCCUUUUGUGUCAAGACACCAGCUCCUGAAGUCCUCCUAACGUUCAAAUUUCAAAUGGUUGACUCGAUUUUGAAAUCCCGCUCAAACUUUCAUCCAAAAAUUCUAGACUUUUCCCCUAUAAAUACUACUGUUUUCUACAAGUAAAGGGGAUUCUUCAGCUGCCUCAUAUCCAUUUUUCUACUUUAGCCGCCUCUACUUCCACCUAAAACAUAUAACUCUUAGUCGUUCUUUCACUCUAAAGGGACGACUUUCGCAUCUGAGUUGUUCAAGUCCAAAUCUCAUUCGUGAAGAAGAGAUAGAUCCGAGGUCGAAGCUCCAGAUUCACUGCCCCACAAACGCCGAAGAGUCCUACUUUAAGACUCAACGACGCUGUAGCACCACAUGGAGUCAUCGUUAUUUGUGCUGGCCUAAUGUCGAAUCUCAUGGCGAAAACCAUAAAAUUCAUCCUUAUGGGAUGUCGGCGGGGACUACCCGUUAUGCUUCUUCAAUCUUUACUUUGCUAGUUUCUCCCUUGAUCUCUAUAUUGCCAAUCCAUUCUAUUUGUCUUUUUUUAAACUUGUGAUUAGUCUCACUUAGGACUUAUAUUCAAGCUAAUAAUGGAUUACUUGUUACGUGGAGAUAUGGAAACUGGGGUUGAGGACUUUAAAAUCAUUUGUCUGACCAA